rnacentral:lncRNA from 1 species
UGGAAGAGCCUGAGAAUCGGAAGAAGAAAGACGGAGGGGAGAAGAGCGAGAGGAGUUACAGAAAGAGGGAAGGCGGUGAGGAAGACGACGAUGACGAACGAGGAGAAGGGCGGAGGAGCAAGAGGUCGAGAGGCGAAGAGUUGAACGGCGAAAGAAGGGAGCGGCACGAAAAGGAUCGGCGGAGAAGCGGCAGAGAUGGCGAGAGAGAGUCUAAGGAUAGGAAAUCCGAGAGAGAAAAGGAUCGGGGACGUGAGAGAGAGAAGGAGAGAGGGAGGGACAGAGAGAAAGAUAAGGAGAGGGACAGAGAUAAAGAUAAGGAGAGGGACAGAGAGAAAGAUAAGGAAAGGGAAAGAGAGAGAGAUAAAGAGAGGGAGAGGGAGAGGGAGAGGGAGAGAGAGAGAGAUAAGGAAAGGGAGAGAAAGGAGAGGGAGAGAGAGAAGGAAAAGGAGAGAGAGAAGGCGAAGGAGAAGGAGAGAAGAGAGUUGGAGAAGGAGGAGAGGGAGGAGAAAGAGAGGUCGCGCAGAAGUACAAGCAGGUCGAGGCGGCAUGAGAGUGAUCGUGAUAGGGAAUUGAGAGAGAGAUCACGAGAAAUUGAGCCAAGAGAGAGCAGGUGAUAUUUCCUUACUUUGGAUUGAAUGUGGGCUUGUUUCAUUAUGGUUGUUGAUGAUGAAUGUCUAUGCAAUGCAUAUAGUCAUUAUUCUUAAGCUAAAAAGACCCAGUGUCAUUUAAAAUGAAAAGAAUGAAAGGCAAUGCUCAAAUGUAGAAGGAUUGCAUCUGCAUUUUAAGAAGCUAACAAUAAAGGAACUUCUUCCAGGAUUCAAUAAAAGAAGUGGCAUCUUUUUACAAAUUGAGAUUAGUGGCUGAAUUGUUUCUCUUCUGGACUUAAAAUGGAUUGCAUGAAUUUGUUUGAAGAUUUAGUGUUUAAAGGAAGGGCCAAAGGAGGGAAAGAAAGAAAGAAACUAGUAAUUUAUGUUAAAUCUCAACAUUUCACAUAUUAGCCUAUUGAUGCUUUUAGUAUUAUAUCCUAAUCUAUAUAACUACCUACAUUUAAAAAAAAUAAUAUUGCUUGGUGUUUCGGCAUAUGAUACAUAAAAACCUAAAUAUGUUUGUUGUUGAGAUUUAUUUUCAAAGGUUUAGUGAGCAUUUGCAUAGAUUUUUUUUUUUGAUAGGUAAAUAAACGGCUUGUAUUAGAAAUGCCUAAAAGUGACGAAAACAGUACACAUGAAGUAUACAAACAAUGCCCAGAAAAAUUUAGUAAUGAGACAAAAAAGGCCUUCCCCUUACUUGACAAACAACCAAUCUAUAAAGUCAAUUGUAGACAAAGUGUGAUCCUUUAUACACACCCUAGCCCAAUUUACAAAAGUAUACAAGAAAAAAGAUUUAAUAGCUUGGUCAGACCGCUUGACAUCAUUGAAAGUUCUUUCAUUCAUUUCCUUCCAUAAAGUCCACAUUAAGCACAAGGGGGCAGCUCUCUAGGCCUUCUCCCUUUUUCACCUACAAAAGAGUUAUACCAACCUAACAAAUUCCUCCUAAUUAAGGAAUGCAUAACCCAUUGCACACCAAAAGGGAAGUAAAUCAAAUUCCACAACAUUCUAGCCUUGUCACAAAAUGGGAUUAGGUGGUCAGUGGGUUCCCCCUCUUCUUUGCACAAGUAGCAACUAUUCGAUGUAUUUCAUCCCUUUCUUUUCAGUUGGUCGAUAGUCAUAAUUUUGUUCCAAGACACUUCCCAAGUAAAAAAACUCACCCUCACUGGAACCCAAGACCUCCAAAUAAUAUUCUAAGGAAAAGGAUCUUUAAAAGCCUCGAUGUAGGAGCGAUAAAGGGAUCUAAUUGAAAAUUUGCCAUUCUUUCUCUCCAGCUCAAAAUAUCCUUCAUUUCUCUUCUCACAAUCAAGGGUUGUAGUUUUUGGAACAAGGACUCCACUUCUCCUAUCUCCCAAUCAUUAAAAUGUCUUCAAAAGCGAGGACUCCAACCACCCAAGUCCCUACCCUCCUCCCAAACUCCUGACACCCAACCAUCUUUAUUAACUGGCAAUAGAAACAAGUUAGGGAAAGCUUCUUUCAAAGUUUGGUCCUCACACCACAAAUCUUUCCAAGACUUAACCCUUCUCCCAUUCCCUACUAUAAAGUGGGAUCUACAUCUUAUGCCUUCCCAUUCAUUUUUUAUUGUUGAUGUAUGAAAAAAUAUCUAUAAUAUGGUAGAAUCUGAAGCGAGAAAAUGUUUGCUUUUGGUGGGUUAACAGUCCGAAACAAGAUUUUUCCUUGGCACAUGUUCACAGUGCUGUUUAAUGUACAUGUAUAUGCUUACAUGCUACCUAGUAAGGACAUCAACCCUGAAAAAGCUCCAUUUCACUGUUGGGGUGACCACUUUCCUUGAAUCAGCUGUGGGGGUAACUCCUAAUGAAGAAAGUUUCUCCAUUGAAAUGCACCAACCUCCAAGGGAGCCCCUCCCUUUUGGAAAGAUCGAAGUGAAUCUCUUAGCCUCUGUCGGAACAACAAUGCAAAAGAGGAAGUGAGGAACCUCCCUUCGCCAUUUGAAUGACGCUCCAACUUGAACUUCCUCCCUCUCUCCUCCCAAACUUUACUCCAUCUCCGCAACUCUUUGUCUCUACAGAAAAUCCUACCCCUUCCAAUGAGUAUCUUAAACUCAACUCCUUGAAUCUAAUGCAAGUUGAGAAACCUCUGCCUUGUUCCACAACGACACCUUUCAACCUCCCAUCAACCUCCUCAACAGAAAGAUCAAAGGACUUUGAGUCCACAGAAAACCAACACUGACCUCCUAUCAUUGAAGUUAGAUUCAUCUUAGAUGCCCAGUAUGAGACAUAAAAAAGGCUAAAAGAUGCUACCCAGCUGUUGUGGUUUCAAUACAUGUUGAUAUAGCUGUUGUGGUUUCAAUGCGAGGGGGGCAUUUGGGGGGAUUGUAGUGUUCUGGGAUAGUAGAGUUCUUGAGUUGGUGGGUAUGAAGGUUGGGGUUUGCUCAACUUCUUGUCAGUUUAAGAAUUGUGAUGAUGGUUUUGUUUGGUUUUUUAUACAGAAAAGUGUUAGAGAGGAUUUUUAGGCAGAAUCGGGGGCUAUAAGGGGACUAUGGAAUGACCCGUGGUAUAUUGGGGAUGAUUUCAAUGUUGUAAGAUUCCCUCAGGAGCAUUCUGGUGGCAACCAGAGGCUAAUUGUAGCAAUGAGAAGAUUUUCAGAGAAAAUAGACAAGCUUCAACUGAGAGAUCUUCACUUGAUAGGGGGUCCUUUUACAUGGAGGAGGGGUUUGAAUGAUCAAGUCCUUGCACGAUUAGACCCCUUCUUGGUGUCUGAUGAUUGGGAAGGGCACUUGAAUGGAGUGUUACAGUACUUGUUGCCUAGACCCGUUUUAGACCAUGCUCCAAUUUUGUUGGAUGGGGGGGUUGUGUGUAGAGGCCCUUCUCCUUUCAGGUUUGAAAAUAUGUGGCUCAAGGAGGAAGGUUUUAAGGAGUUAGUGAAAUCUUGGUGGAUGACCCCUAAUUUAGGGGGUCCCCCAGCUUUGUUUUGGUAGAAAAAUUGAAAAGCCUUAAAAUUUUAUUGAAAAGGUGGAACACUGAAGUUUUCGGGAAUGUGGUUGUUAAGAAAUUAGAGGCCUUGUCUCAAAUGGAAUUUUGGGAUUCUAAAGAGGCGUUGGGUACCUUAUCCUUUGAGGAGGAGUCUGCCAAGAAGAGCUUAAGGGCGGAUUUUAAGAAAUGGGCUCUAAUGGAAGAAACAAUUUGGAGGCACAAGUCUAGGGAGGUUUGGCUGAAGGAAGGGGACAGAAACACCAAUUUCUUCCACAAAAUGACAAAUGCUCAUACGAAGAGGAAUACUGUGGCUAAGGCGAAGAUUAAUGGGAUUUCUAUCACAGAAAAGGUUGACAUAAGGGAAGGGAUUAUUCAGGCUUUUCAAAAGCUUCUAUUGGAACCUCCUCGGGAGUGGCGCCCUAGCGUAGAGGACAUGUGGUUUAUUGUUCUUCACAGUCAAGAUGUAUCAAAAUUGGAGGAACUGUUUUGUGGGGAGGAGGCGUUCAUGGCACUGUCAAAGUUGAAUCGGGAUAAAGCUACAGGGCUGGAUGGCUUUUCUUUGGCUUUCUGGCAACACUGCAGGGAUGUAGUCAAGGUUGAGGUCUUGAGUUUUUUUAAGGAAUUCCAUGAACAAGGGUGCUUUGUGAAAAUCCUCAAUGCAACAUUCCUAGUGUUGGUUCCAAAGAGAGGAGCUGAAGAGUUGAAAGAUUUUAGGUCGAUAAGUUUGGUUGGUAGCCUAUAUAAAUUAUUGGCUAAGGUGUUGGGUAAUAGGCUAAAGAAAAUGAUGGGAAAAGUGGUCUCAAAACAUCAGAAUGCGUUUGUGGAAGGAAGACAAAUUCUUGAUGCGGUACUUAUAGCUAAUGAGGCAAUUGACGCGAUGUUGAGAAGUAAUAGAGUAGGGGUGCUUUGUAAACUUGAUAUUGAAAAAGCUUAUGAUCAUGUAAGCUGAAUUUUUUUACUUGAGGUGUUAGGAAAAAUGGGUUUUGGACAAAGGUGGAUCAAUUGGAUUAGUUUGUGCAUCUCAACUCCAAGGUUCUCGGUGUUAGUGAAUGGUACUCUCUCGGGGUUUUUUCAAAGCUCUAGGGCCUUAAGGCAAGGGGACCCGUGAUCCAUGUACUUGUUUGUUCUAGCUAUGGAGGUGCUCAAUUUCCUUCCUGGAAGGGCAAGAGAGGGUGGCUACUUGUCUGGCUUCAAAGUGUUAGGGAGAAAUGGAGAGGGGCUUGGAGAUUUCCUAUUUGUUGUUCGCAGAUGAUACGCUAGUUUUUUGUGAGGCCACCUCUUCCCAAAUGACUUAGUUGAGUUGGUUAUUCAUGUGGUUUGAGGCCAUUUUGGGUUUGAAGAUCAACUUAGAUAAAAGUGAGCUUAUUCCGGUUGGGAGGGUGUCGAAUGUAAUGGAGUUGGCUAUUGUUUUUGGUUGCAAAGUGGGUGCACUCCCAACCACAUAUUUGGGGCUCCCUCUAGGAGCUGCCCAUAACUCGGUGGUGGUUUGGGACAAGGUUGAAGAAAGGUUCAGAAAAAGAUUAGGAAUAUGGAAAAGACAAUAUAUUUCUGAAGGGGGAAGGUUAACUUUGGUUAAGAGCACGCUAGCUAGCUUGCCAAUCUAUUUUAUGUCACUUUUCCGGAUGCCAAGGAGAGUUCGCUUAAGGUUGGAGAAGAUUCAAAGGGACUUUUUGUGGGGAGGUGGGGCUCUAGAGAAUAAGCCUCAUUUGGUGAAGUGGGAUAUUGUUUGUUUAAACAAAAGAAAAGGAGGUGUUGGAGUUAGACAUCUUAACUCUCUAAAUAAAGCUCUCCUUUGCAAUUGGAUUUGACAGUUUGCUAAGGAAAGGGAUGCCCUUUGGAGAGAAGUUAUUUGUGGUAAAUUUGGGGAAUUGGAAGGGGUUGGUGUUCUAAGGAAGUGAGGGGCACCUAUGGUGUUGGUCUAUGGAAGGCUAUAAGGCUUUUGUGGGAGUUAGUCUCUUCUAGAACUCUCUUUGUAGUGGGCAAUGAGAGAAGGGUCAAGUUUUGGAGAGACAGUUGGUGUGAGGAUGAGCGUUUAUGUGUGUCUUUUCCCUCCUUGUUCAUUCUAGCUAGCUCAAAAGAGGUUUGAGUGGCGGAUUUGUGGGUGCACUCUUUUGAGGGGGGUGGCUGGAACCCAAACUUCUCUAGAUCUCUCAAUGACUGGGAGAUUAGGACGGUGGAAUGCUUCUUGUCCAGGAUUCAAGACAAAGUGGUGGUUGAGGAGAGGGAGGAUGAGGUGUUUUGGGAGGUUACAAAGAGUGGAUCCUUUUUUGUUAAGUCCCUCUAUUAUAUCAUUGAGGAAGUAAGGGUAGACCUUUUCCCAACUAGUAUUGUGUGGAAUGCUUGGGUUCCUCCUAAGGUUAGUUUUUUUGCUUGGGAGGCAACAUGGGGAAAAGUUUUGACUUUAGACCAAUUGCAAAGGAGAGGGUGCUCUUUAGUCAAUAGAAGCUUCCUUUGUUAUGCUCAUGAGGAGUCAAUUGAUCAUAUACUCUUGCAUUGUGAAAAGGCAAGGCUAUUGUGGGAGCUCUUGUUUUCUUUGUUCAGGGUGUGUUGGGCGAUUCAUGCUUUUGUUAGAGAGACCCUUUUAGGGUGGCAUGGUUUGUUCAUUGGAAGAAAGAGGAUGAAAGUGUGGAGAGCAGCGCCUUUGUGCCUCUUCUGGACAAUUUGGAAGGGGAGAAAUAGAAGAUCGUUUGAGAAUAUGGAACUUUCUAUUCAAAGGCUAAAGUUCGUGUUUUUGUGCAACUUAUUAUCUUGGACAAACUUGUUUAUAAAACAUGCUUCUAUGUCCUCAGUUGAUUUUAUUGAUUGGUUGAGGACAGAUUGAGGGAGGGAGUAUUUUUGUCUUCCUUAUCCUUUUUGGCGUUAUUAGGCGGUUGUUGUAUACACUGUGUGUACUUUGGUGCGCUCCUUCUGGCGAUUUUAUACAAUUUGCACUUACCCAUCUAAAAAAAAAAAAAUACAUGUUGAUAUGGCAAACAUGGAUGUCAUGGUCAAUUUUUGGUAGAAAAUAUAUUUUUUAUGCUUUGCUAUUCCUUUUUCCUGGAAUUAUUAUGUCCUUGUCAAGUUGAAUUCAUCAAAAUUUUGAACUUAUUUCCCCAUUGAAUUUCUUCUUAUUAUAUUAAAUUGAUGUGGAGGGCAGGAGAUUUAAAGAUAAGAAAGAAGCUGUGGAGC